rnacentral:tRNA from 1 species
UCCCUGGAAGUCCAGUGGUUAGAACUCCAUGCUGUCACUGCUGAGGGCCUGGGUUCAAUCCCUGGUCAGGGAA